CAUCCUGGGGCUGCUCCUACUUCCCUUUUCUCAGGGUCUGCGCUCCCUCCCUGGAACAGCUGGGCCCAGGUCUCCCUCCAGGGAGCGUUCGGAUGGAGCACGGCCACCCACCAUCAUGACUAAAGAUCAAAAAGAGCAAAACAGAACAAGACCUCAGGUCUCCGGGCCAUUUCCCCCUUCAGAGGCGGAGAGCAGCACAUCAAAACCAGAAGAUGAGCCAGAAGGUGGGUGUGCAGAGUGGAAGCCGCGAGCCACCGGAGACAGAAGAGUGCGAAUCGAGAUGGGCUUGCAUGUGAAACACUCAGCAGAGGUCACAGAUUUGGGACCGGAAACAAGCGGAAUGUCUCUCACCGGCGACUCUUCAAUUCUGGAUUUUCAUGCGAAAGUGAUAGCAUCUGGCUUUUAUUUGGG
ensembl:lncRNA